CGGACCUCCUCGGCGGGCGGCGGCGGGGCCUGCCUGUGCGCUCUGCGCCCGCCCGCGCCUACCCUCCAUGGCGUUUAUCCGGAAGAAGCAGCAGGAGCAGCAGCUGCAGCUCUACUCCAAGGAGAGAUUUUCCUUGCUGCUGCUUAACUUGGAGGAGUACUACUUUGAACAGCAUAGAGCCAAUCACAUUUUGCACAAGGGCAGUCACCAUGAAAGGAAAAUCAGAGGCUCCUUAAAAAUAUGUUCAAAAUCGGUGAUUUUUGAACCAGAUUCAAUAUCCCAGCCCAUCAUCAAGAUUCCUUUGAGAGACUGUAUAAAAAUAGGAAAGCAUGGAGAAAAUGGAGCCAAUAGACACUUCACAAAGUAUGUCAUUUUCACCACUGUUUAAUUUUACUUCAACCAAAAAGCUGUAUAUAUUUAAUGACUUUUAUCUGUAUUUUAGGGCAAAAUCUGGGGGUAUUUCACUCAUUUUCAGUCAGGUAUAUUUCAUUAAAGAACAUAAUGUUGUUGCACCAUAUAAAAUAGAAAGGGUAAGUAAAGCUUUUCAUGUAUUUCCAGCAAUUUAUAUAGUCAUUUUGAACAAUAAAAUUUUGUGACUCUGUUAACAUCUUUAAUCAAAUAUAAUAAUGAGUAUUUAAAAGCUUCUUACCUGGAAGUU
rnacentral:sRNA from 1 species